AGAUAAAAACCAACCUGGUUUUCACCGGUUUCAACUCAGAUCAUGUAAAAUUUUAAAAAUCGAACAGAUUUACCUAAUAAGGCCUCUUCACCUUAAGUUCGAUUUUAAGAUGGAAGAGC